rnacentral:rRNA from 1 species
AUUGAACGCUGGCGGCAGGCCUAACACAUGCAAGUCGAACGGUAGCACAGAGAGCUUGCUCUCGGGUGACGAGUGGCGGACGGGUGAGUAAUGUCUGGGAAGCUGCCCGAUGGAGGGGGAUAACUACUGGAAACGGUAGCUAAUACCGCAUAACGUCGCAAGACCAAAGUGGGGGACCUUCGGGCCUCACACCAUCGGAUGUGCCCAGAUGGGAUUAGCGAGUAGGUGGGGUAAUGGCUCACCUAGGCGACGAUCCCUAGCUGGUCUGAGAGGAUGACAAGCCACACUGGAACUGAGACACGGUCCAGACUCCUACGGGGGUCAGCAGUGGGGGAUAUUGCACAAUGGGCGCAAGCCUGAUGCAGCCAUGCCGCGUGUAUGAAGAAGGCCUUCGGGUUGUAAAGUACUUUCAGCGGGGAGGAAGGCGGUGAAGUUAAUAACUUCACCGAUUGACGUUACCCGCAGAAGAAGCACCGGCUAACUCCGUGCCAGCCGCCGCAGUAA